GUUAUUGGUUGCAAGCUUCUCUCAAUUCCUAGAAGCCACUGUCAAUUUCUUACCACAUGAACCUUCCAACACGACUGCUUGUUUCAUCAAAGCCAGAAAGACCAAGAGAGACUCCUGCAAAAUGGGAUCUGUGAUCGUACAAGCAUAAUCACAUACAUGCAAUUAUGCAUAUUUCUUCACCUUUGUUAUAUUCUAUUGAUUAAUAGCAAGUCACACAUCUCAUCCAUACUCAAGGAAAAGGAGUCCGACAAGGCCAUGGACAUCAAGAGGUAGAGGUAGAAUUUUGCUGUUAUAUAGUUGCUAAGUCCUGUCCAACUCUUUGCAACCCCAUGGACUGUAGCCCACCAAGCUCCUCUGUCCCACAGCCUGUGAGAUCCUAGUUCCCCAAGCAGAAACUGGACUGGACCAAGGACUGAACUCUCGCCCUCUGCAGUGAAAGUGCAUAGUCUUGACUACUGGACUGCCAGGGAAUUCCCUUUGUUUGUUUUAACUAUAAGGAGAGAUCAAAGGAGUUGAGAAGAGAAAUCCUAGCGAAUAGCUGCAGUCUCAGUUGGUAAAAGUCAUGCCAAGUCUUUUUGCAUAUGAUCCACAAUCUGAAAUUGUCUUUUUUCUUUAUUUCCUUCUUUGUUUUAUCUCCCUAUUUAGAAUAUUGGAUCCAUGAUGGCUAGGAUCUUGUAUGUUCUUUUCAUCACUUGAAUCCAUUUCCUACAACUGUGUAAGACCAUGGUAGAUACUCAAUAAAAACUUGCUCAAUGAAUGCAUGAGGAAUCGAUAUUUGGAUUCUAGUUUUCCGUGCAACAAAGUGGUUGAGAGGCCUUACGAUGAUCAUUUACCUCUUGCAGGAUCAAUUUCUUUACCUUUAAAAUGAUGAAGUAGACUGGAUGGC
ensembl:lncRNA